UUGCACUAAAAUCAAAUGACACAGUUGGUAAGAAAAUGUGAACGUAAUGCCGGAAAUGCAACCUUUCACUGCAAGCAGCUGCCGGGAGCGCCCGUCUGCAGAGGGAGAACCUGCAGCCCUCUUUAGCUCUGCUCCAAGGACUAAGCCCAGACAGACUACCACAGCAGCCGGAAUACAGUAGUUUAAAUACUAAAAACCAAAUGUCAUACAGGGAGAAGAGAACAACGGUACCCAUGGGAGGUGGAUCCUUCGAGCGUCGGCCUCCAUUAUCCACUGGCAUCCCUAGGGUGCUCAGUUUCCUAACCCAGUCUUGUGGCUGCCCUGAGCCACAGCGGGGCUCAUUUAAAAAACCCUUUCCCCUGAGUGUCUCUGAGAACAGACACACCUCUUCCUUGGCAGUGGGAAAAGCCACUGCACAUACAACAAGUUCUGGGGGAACUCAACAGGCCCAACAUCAUCCCCGACUGUAAGGACAGAAGACAGCCGGUGACCACUGAUCACGUGUGGCCUGUUUUACAGUUACAGUCAGAAAAAGGUUACUCGUGCCUCUGCUCUCGGUUUGGUUCUGAGGUAGGGUCUCUGCUCCACAGCCUGGCUGGCCUCUCAUUUUUGGACAACCUUUAAGCCUCUGGCUCCUCAAAGGCGAGCCUCACAUGGAGCCUGACCCUGUCACAAACACAGCACAGGCUGGCUGCAAGUGACAGAAACGCUGCUUGGCGCUGGAUAGAGUGUCUGUCUCGUACCACCCGUCCCCUUUACAGCCAGGCCCUCUACUCUCCCUCCUCAGAGGGAGGGAAGGGAGGAAGCAGGCCCAGGAAGGCCCAGAGCACUCAUCUUCCCUCAUUCCCACCCCAGGUCCACAGCACAGCGGUGUGACAGACCACCUGAAACACUUGGGACCAAAGUGGUCCAGACGCCUGAGUAGUCUGGACGUGGGGCUAUCUGCACAGGCUUCACCAGCUAAACGCCCCGAAUCAGAAACUCCCAAAUCCAGUCUGUAGUAUAGGACUCUGAAGGAUUUCAGCCUUCACAACAACCCUGACUCGAGGCAGAUUUUUAUCCCGUCUGAAAAGUAAGCACUCCCGGGAGUUACCUUAAUUUCA
rnacentral:sRNA from 1 species